rnacentral:rRNA from 1 species
UACGUAGGGUGCAAGCGUUGUCCGGAAUUAUUGGGCGUAAAGAGCUCGUAGGCGGUUUGUUGCGUCUGCUGUGAAAACUCGGGGCUCAACUCCGAGCGUGCAGUGGGUACGGGCAGACUAGAGUGCGGUAGGGGAGACUGGAAUUCCUGGUGUAGCGGUGGAAUGCGCAGAUAUCAGGAGGAACACCGGUGGCGAAGGCGGGUCUCUGGGCCGUAACUGACGCUGAGGAGCGAAAGCAUGGGGAGCGAACAGG